GACGAACGCUGGCGGCGUGCCUAAUACAUGCAAGUCGAACGCUUUUUCUUUCACCGGAGCUUGCUCCACCGAAAGAAAAAGAGUGGCGAACGGGUGAGUAACACGUGGGUAACCUGCCCAUCAGAAGGGGGUAACACUUGGAAACAGGUGCUAAUACCGUAUAACACUAUUUUCCGCAUGGAAGAAAGUUGAAAGGCGCUUUUGCGUCACUGACGGAUUGACCCGCGGUGCAUUAGCUAGUUGGUGAGGUAACGGCUCACCAAGGCAACGAUGCAUAGCCGACCUGAGAGGGUGAUCGGCCACACUGGGACUGAGACACGGCCCAGACUCCUACGGGAGGCAGCAGUAGGGAAUCUUCGGCAAUGGACGAAAGUCUGACCGAGCAACGCCGCGUGAGUGAAGAAGGUUUUCGGAUCGUAAAACUCUGUUGUUAGAGAAGAACAAGGAUGAGAGUAAAAUGUUCAUCCCUUGACGGUAUCUAACCAGAAAGCCACGGCUAACUACGUGCCAGCAGCCGCCGUAA
rnacentral:rRNA from 1 species